GACGAACGCUGGCGGCGUGCUUAACACAUGCAAGUCGAACGGUGAAGCGCCUUCCUUUUUGGUGGGUGUGGAUGCGUGGCGAACGGGUGAGUAACACGUGAGUAACCUGCCCCCUUCUUCUGGAUAACCGCACGAAAGUGUGGCUAAUACGGGAUCUUCUGGGUCUGUCGCAUGAUGGGUCUGGGUCAGAUAUUGUUUCGGUGGGCGCUGGGCUGGCGGCGUAUGAGCUUGUUGGUGGGGUGAUGGCCUUCCACGGCGGUGACGGGUAGCCGGCCUGGGAGGGUGGCCGGUCACACUGGGACAGAGACACGACCGGGACUGAGACGGGGGGCAGCAGUGGGGGAGAUUGCGCAAUGGGGGCAAGCCUGAUACAGCGAGGCGGCGGGAGGGGUAGAGGCCUGCGGGGGGUGAACCUCUUUCGCCAGUAAAGCAGUCCUGCCUCGUUUGUGGGGUGGUUGACGGUAGCUGGAUAAGAAGCGCCGGCUAACUACGUG
rnacentral:rRNA from 1 species